AGGCAGGUUUGGUCCGAAUGACUACCCGUAGACCACGUGACUGUUGUUGUCACACGCCGCGCCGCUGCUGCACGCGCAUGCUGGACGCUCCGAAGCUAACGGACAAUAACACGCGCUGUGGAUGUCUGUGGACCUGGAGCCUCGCGGGACACAGUCCACUGUGGGAGACAUGUGCUUCUCCACGGGGGACUCGGCGCUGACGCCGGCGGUGCCGCCUGUAGAAGCAGAAGCUACCGGGAGCUAGCAUUAGCAGCUAUGAGGCUAACUGGAUCCGCCGGGUCCACAAACACCCGCCCGCUAAGGAACGGGUCCACGGCGUGUUGUGUUCGUGCUGGACUCCACAGAACCAGGUUGUGGGAGUGUGGAGAAAACGGCAGGAGACGCGCCGGGGGUCGGUCCAGAGGACCAGCUCUCCAGCCGGGCUCGGUGACAGAAGGAGCGUCCCAGUCGGGACGUCCAGAGAGCACAGCGGAUGGAUCCGAGGUCACGCCCGUGGAGGAGGAGAGAAGGGGCCAGGAGGAGCACGGCAGAGGUCAGGAGGAGGUGCUGCCAUGGGGAGGUGAAAGCAUAGAGCAGAUGAAGCCAGGCUACUUGUGUGUGUUGUAGAGUCUGGGUCAGAGUGUGUGUUGAGUGUGGAGGUUGUGUGUGUGUGUGUGUGUGUGCUGUGUGCAUGUGUCACUUGAGCGUGCGCUGGUUAGGAAGUGUGUUUGUUAGAGAGCUGUGUAGGCAGUAGCUGUAAUGUGUGUGUUGUGUGUUGUGUGUGUUAGCAGCCAGUGAAAGCAUGAGUGUGUGUGUGAUUGUGUAGGCGACAUGUUAGUAGUCAGCACCAGCACUACUAGUAAUAGUACUGUGUGUAUGUGUGGGUAAUAAUAAGACUGUACUGUUACUGUAGAAGUUGUGAUGGUGGCAGGAUGAUUGGGACAAGGGUGCAGUGUGCACAGGUUUGAGGUGUGGGCUGUGAGGUUUGUUGUUGUUGUUGAAACAUGUGUACAGUGUAGUGCCUUUACAUGUGGUGUCUGUGUGUAUUAGAAAAUGUAUGUGUGUAGGUUGUUAUGCAUACAUAUAUAUGUGUAUAUAUAUGUGUAUAUAUGUAUGUAUAUAUACACGUAUGAAUGCAUACGUCUAUACACAUGCUCAUGGACUUCAUCAGCCCCUGCUGCUCAUCUUUGCUACUCAUGGACUGAUGAUAUAUAGAUAUCAUUACAAUAUA
rnacentral:lncRNA from 1 species